rnacentral:rRNA from 1 species
UACGGGGGGAGCAAGCGUUGUUCGGAUUUACUGGGCGUAAAGGGCGUGUAGGCGGCCACCGCAAGUCGACUGUGAAAUCUCCGGGCUUAACCCGGAAAGGUCAGCCGAUACUGCGGGGCUAGAGUGCAGAAGGGGCAACUGGAAUUCUCGGUGUAGCGGUGAAAUGCGUAGAUAUCGAGAGGAACACCUGCGGCGAAGGCGGGUUGCUGGGCUGACACUGACGCUGAGGCGCGAAAGCUAGGGGAGCGAACGGG